rnacentral:tRNA from 1 species
GUAGGUAUAGUUUAACAAAAGCCUUAGAUUGUGAUUCUAAAGACAGAGGUUAGAAUCCUCUUACCCACC